GACGAACGCUGGCGGCGUGCUUAACACAUGCAAGUCGAACGGUGAUGCUCCAGCUUGCUGGAGUGGAUCAGUGGCGAACGGGUGAGUAACACGUGAGCAACCUGCCCCAGACUCUGGAAUAAGCGCUGGAAACGGCGUCUAAUACUGGAUACGAAACUGGCCCGCAUGGGCAUGGUUUGGAAAGUUUUUCGGUUUGGGAUGGGCUCGCGGCCUAUCAGCUUGUUGGUGAGGUAAUGGCUCACCAAGGCGACGACGGGUAGCCGGCCUGAGAGGGCGACCGGCCACACUGGGACUGAGACACGGCCCAGACUCCUCCGGGAGGCAGCAGUGGGGAAUAUUGCACAAUGGGCGAAAGCCUGAUGCAGCGACGCCGCGUGAGGGAUGACGGCCUUCGGGUUGUAAACCUCUUUCAGCAGGGAAGAAGCGAAAGUGACGGUACCUGCAGAAGAAGCACCGGCUAACUACGUG
rnacentral:rRNA from 1 species